rnacentral:rRNA from 1 species
UACGUAGGGUGCAAGCGUUAAUCGGAAUUACUGGGCGUAAAGCGUGCGCAGGCGGUUUUGUAAGACAGAGGUGAAAUCCCCGGGCUUAACCUGGGAACUGCCUUUGUGACUGCAAGGCUUGAGUGCGGCAGAGGGGGAUGGAAUUCCGCGUGUAGCAGUGAAUGCGCAGAUAUGCGGAGGAACACCGAUGGCGAAGGCAAUCCCCUGGGCCUGCACUGACGCUCAUGCACGAAAGCGUGGGGAGCAAACAGG